rnacentral:rRNA from 1 species
GACGAACCGUGCGAACGUUGUUCGGAAUCACUGGGCUUAAAGGGCGCGUAGGCGGGUUUCCAAGUCUGUGGUGAAAUCCUCCAGCUUAACUGGAGAAGUGCCGUGGAUACUGGAGACCUCGAGGAGGGUAGGGGCAUCUGGAACAGCCGGUGGAGCGGUGAAAUGCGUUGAUAUCGGCUGGAACUCCGAUGGCGAAAGCAAGGUGCUGGACCCUAUCUGACGCUGAGGCGCGAAAGCCAGGGGAGCGAACGGG